rnacentral:rRNA from 1 species
UACGUAGGGGGCGAGCGUUGUCCGGAUUUAUUGGGCGUAAAGAGCUCGUAGGCGGCUCGUCGCGUCGACCGUGAAAACCCGCGGCUUAACUGCGGGCUUGCGGUUGAUACGGGCGGGCUAGAGUUCGGUAGGGGAGACUGGAAUUCCUGGUGUAGCGGUGAAAUGCGCAGAUAUCAGGAGGAACACCGGUGGCGAAGGCGGGUCUCUGGGCCGAUACUGACGCUGAGGAGCGAAAGCGUGGGGAGCGAACAGG